UCAUUUCCCAGGGCCUCCCACAGCUAGGCAAGUGCUGGACCACUGAGCCACAUCCCAAACACUGGUGUCCACUCUUUCUCCUCUUCCUUUGAAGCAGCUCCUGUGUGGCCCUACAGAGGCGGAAGCAGCCAGGGACCGGUCAGGCUGAUGGGACAAAGAGACUCCCAAUGCAGUGGCUUGGCCAAGAUACAGCGGGCCUGUGGUGACGGCAGGGGACUGGUUCCAGGACAACCCCUCUGCCUACUCCCCAUACCAAAAUCUGUGGACAUUCAAGGACUUUUAGAAAAUGCCAUAGUAUCUGCAUAUAGCCCGAUUCUAGUCUUCCAAAUACUUGAAAUCACCUCUAGAUGAUUUAUGCUACUUAACCCAAUGUAAAUGCUAUUCAAGUAGUUGUUAUAGUGUAUUAUUUUAAAAUUGGUAUUAAUAAACAUUUCUUUUUUAUUUUUCCGAGUAUUUUCAAUGCAGUUGGUUAAAGAUGGAUCAGGAUUCAUGGACAUGGAGGGACAACUAUAGAGGUAUGUCACCCAUACCAGCUCAUGGGAGUCUUCUGCCUGUGAGUUCAAGGUUGCUGCUCUAGAUCUCACUGUGGGUCCCAGGGCCUGCAAGCCCAUUCAUUUUAAGUGCCAGACUGAGGUCGAGGCGCUCCUCAUUUUUUUCUUGCAUUCCAUUGGCAAGAGCAUAGUCACGUGAGGAUAGCUGCAAAGGACACUGGGAAAUGUAGUCUUUAAGGAGGCCAACAUAUACACUGCUAAAACUCUAUUAUUUUGAGCUGGGGUUGCAACUGAGUAGUACAGAGCUUGCCCAGCACAUGUGAGACACUGGGUUUGAUCCUCAGCACAACAUGCAAAUAAAAUAAUGGUCAACAACAACUAAAAAAUAUUUUUUAAAAAGCUCUAUUAUUUCACUGUAGCUUCGAAGGUAAACAUUUUAAGCUUUGUGGGCAAUCUGGUCUCUUUUGCAGCUAUUCCCCUCUAGUGUCCGAGUAUCAAAGCCACCAUAUAUGUUACAGAGAUGAGUGUGCAUUGGUUGUGUUUCAACAAAAUUCUACUUAUAGGGCUGGGGAUGUGUGUGGCUUAUUUGUAGAACUGUUUGCAUGUGUGAGACCCUGGGUUCAAUCUCCAGCACCCUUCCUCCUCCCAAAAAUCUAUUUAUAAAACCAGAUGGAUGCUGGAUUUGGCCCACAGGCCAGAGCUCACCCGUGACCUAGGGAAUGGACAUUGGUGGAUAACUAAUGGUGGGUAAUUAGAAUCUUCUCCAGGUAGGCAUGGCCACAUGACCCCGGCCUAAUCUACGGGACAUAAGGAGGUGUUAGCUGGAGAUAUUUCCUCCCUAAUGAAAACUGAGUCCUGUGAGGAAAAGCAGCUCCCCCUCCAGCCUGCUUUGCUCUACGUCAUGUGAGGUCCAAGUGCUUAGAGCUGUGGCAGCCAUUCUAUAACCAAGAGGCAAGGCCACUGCUGAACCGUGGAAUUCACCCCUGGGACAUCCCACCUCUCAGCUCCUUGUCAUGGGAGAGAAACCCUCGUGGUGUGAGUCACCUUACUUGCAGCCAAACACCUCCCCAACCUGCAGCCCAUCUGUUCCCUUUCCCCCUUUCUGCAAGCUCCCGGCUCCUCUGGCCAGGCUUACUCAGGGACACUUGUCCUAAAUAGCCCACAAAGGCCACAGUAAGUAUGCCCUCUGUGCCAAGAAUGUAGCUGCUUACAAAGGACUUUUCUUCACGCAGCGUCCUGAAUUCUUCCUUGGUGGUUUAAGUGAGAAUCACAGUCACCAGUCAACAGGCAUCUACUGCACGUCCCCUGCGUCACAGAGACUGGGAUCCUUUCCCAGAACAAAUUACCACCAAGGCGAGGGCCCCAACCCACACAACUGUGUUCUCUUAGGGUUCUGGAGCCAGAAGCCCAAAGUCAAGGUGUCAGCAGGACCACCUGUCCUCCAGAAGCUGCAGAGGAAGGCCCCCUCACCUGGGCCAGCUCCCCGCGGCCAUCAGCAUUCCUUAGCCUGAGGUGGCCUCCCUUCACAGGACCUUCUCCUGGGUGUCUGCAUCCCGCUCUCACGGACACUCGCCACUGGAUUUAGGACCCGCAUACAGAGUCCGGGAUGCUCCCAUCUCAAGAGCCUUGACUUAUAUCUGCAAAGACCCUCUUUCAGAUGAGGCCAGGUUCAUGAUUCCAGGGGCGGGGUAGGACAUGGACACACGUUUUGAGGGGCUACCAUUGAACACGCUGCAGAGACUCCAAGAAAUCGGGUGACCUGCCUGACAUAUUGGACCCUGGAUUCAGUGCUGUUACUCCCUGGAGCAAGAAUCAAGGAGAGCACCUGUCUCCAGAAUCAGGACACUUGGGCUGUCAUCUCUGUCCCUUAUUUGUGGCGUGACCUCCGCUUUUCUCCUCUGUGCAGAGCAGGUGCCUUGGGGCCAACUUAGGCCGGCAUGUGUAUUCUGCCUGACUUGCCUGGUGCCUUUCUUUUUUUAAAUUAAACUAGUUGCCUGGGCUGGGGAUGUGGCUCAAGCGGUAGCGCGCU
rnacentral:lncRNA from 1 species